rnacentral:rRNA from 1 species
CCUACGGGAGGCAGCAGUGAGGAAUAUUGGUCAAUGGCCGCAAGCCUGAACCAGCCAAGCCGCGUGAGGGAUGACGGUGCUAUGCAUUGUAAACUUCUUUUGUCGAGGAGCAAAAGACGCCACGUGAGGCUUUCCGAGAGUACCCGAAGAAAAAGCAUCGGCUAACUCCGUGCCAGCAGCCGCGGUAAUACGGGGGAUGCAAGCGUUAUCCGGAUUUAUUGGGUUUAAAGGGUGCGUAGGCUGUCAUUUAAGCCGGCGGUAAAAUGUCGGGGCUCAACGGCGAAGUGUCGUAGUAACUGGGUGCCUUGAGUGGGGGAGAGGUAUGCGGAAUGCGUGGUGUAGCGGUGAAAUGCAUAGAUAUCACGCAGAACCCCGAUUGCGAAGGCAUCAUAC